UACGUAGGGCGCAAGCGUUGUCCGGAAUUAUUGGGCGUAAAGAGCUCGUAGGCGGCCAGUUGCGUCCGCUGUGAAAUCCCGGGGCUUAACCCCGGGCGUGCAGUGGAUACGGGCUGGCUAGAGGCAGGCAGGGGAGAACGGAAUUCCCGGUGUAGCGGUGAAAUGCGCAGAUAGUCGGGAGGAACACCGGUGGCGAAGGCGGUUCUCUGGGCCUGUACUGACGCUGAGGAGCGAAAGCGUGGGGAGCAAACAGG
rnacentral:rRNA from 1 species